GGAGAGGAUAGGGGACGAGCUGCUGGAAGUGUCAGCUUAUUGGGGUGGCCGAUGGGGGCCUCUCCCAGGAGGGACUGUGGGAGGAGCCAGCGGGUGGCCCGGGAGUUUGGGACGAGGCAGGAUCCUGGCUGCCAGACUGCGGACUGCGGAGAAGAAAGGCCCCAAGAGGGAGAGCGGCCUGAUGUGGGUCUGGAACAGGACAAGCAGAAGUGGCCUUGAAAAUUUGGGUCCCGGGCGACUCAUGCGUCCUUCCCUGCUCUGGACAAGGCUUUGCGGCUCCCAGGGCAGCUUCCACCCCGCGAAAGGCGGCCUCUACUAUGACAUUUUCCUCCAGGUCACUUUGCAGCCUACGUCUUCCACCCCGGCUCUCUCCACUGACGUCACCUGCCCCCGGAUCGUCCCCUCCCUCGCCGCUUCCCCCGCGCACCUUUCAAUACCCCGGGCUGGGAGGGAGGCCAGGGUUCAGUCUGGACGCCUGAAUGACCGACGGGAUUUCUUUGUCAUAAAUGCGACUUUAUUAUUUUCAA